CAGAGGCUUGUCUACCAAUGUCUGCAGCAGUAUAUUAGUGGUGAGGGCUGAGUUUAUAUGUAAUCAUGUAAUUGCAGCAUUGUGGGUGGAAGGGGUGGGGAGAGGUUUCCUAUGGAGGCAGAUCAUGUGUGGAACGAGCAGCUGCUGCCGAUUAUUUGGCAAGUCGUUCGACCUCAUAAAAAACUUGUAUAUAGCCACGCCAUUAAUCGUGAUUACGGACAAAAAUUGUCAAUGAAAAUUAUGUCGCUCCGCCUCUAUUUUCCAUUUCAUUGGGUUCUGGAACAAUUAUUUUAGGUGGAGGCUGUAUAAGAUAGUAGUGAAAAUUACAGGUUUAUUGGGUUUGAAUUAGGCUCAAAAAAUGUCCAAAGUUUUGCAGGUGCGAGCGUGGUUGGAGGAGACAUAUUCUGGAGUAAGUUCCUGCAUCCUUUCAUACCAUGUAGGUCUGGAUAGUCUUCAAAUAUUUCCUCCAGGCGUGCCAACUUCAGGAAGGCCGGUCAUGAACGAGGUGCGUUUGCGCAUGGAUGGACUUUUUGAGUCGCAAAAGCAGGCAUCCAAGUUCAUACAGGAGUUCGAAGCUCUCUACACCAAUGGUCCUGCAGGUGGCGGUGGAAUAAGGUCAGUCAGUCGUGAAUCAUGGCAUUGUAGGGAUUCUUCUGGAAUCCUUCUCUAUCACCAUCUAGUCACUGAAUUUGCUUAAAUAUGCAUAUGUCGAAUUUAGUGAUCGAUAAGAAAAUUGAAUCUACUAUAUUGAUUGACCUUUAUUGAGUGAUGGCAGAACGGGACUUAAUCACGAGAUACUCCUCCAUAAAUCCUUGGUAUGAACUGAGUUUUUCUCCACUAUUUUUCAUAUUCGGAUUGUGUGUCCUUCAGAUGUCCAAACCUUAUUUCAUUCUUUCUAAGAGCGAUAGAAGGUCUUGAUGCAAUAUGCUGAUUCCAGGAUUUGUGCAGAUCUCACGUGAGCAAGUGCAAUGGAAGACAUCUGCAUGCCAUACUGAUCCUCGCAGCUCUAAUUUGCCUUCUAGUUCGAAAACACCUUCUAAGCUUCCUGGUAGAAUUGUCUUUUUUUACAAUCAUCUUUCAUUGGGAUAUUUCGUUAACUGUUAACCACAAAAAAAUCAGGUUUACGAGCUCUUGUAAGAUGUUUAUGAGGUUUAGAAGUGAACUUCAGACCCAAAUGAUACUUUUGCAUUGUAGGUGUGAGCGCUACAGGGCGAAGUAGUUGCCCACACCAGCUGCAGGCAUCACCAGCGCCAUCAGCUGUAAAGCUACCGCUGUAUCAAGUAGCGCACGGCAGAACUGGCGACAAAGGCAACCAACU
rnacentral:lncRNA from 1 species